GGGCAAUUAACCCAGUUGGUAGAGUGCCUCCGUCACAUGGAGGAAGCCACAGGUUCGAGUCCUGUAUUGCCCACCA
rnacentral:tRNA from 1 species